rnacentral:rRNA from 1 species
UACGUAGGGGGCUAGCGUUGUCCGGAAUCAUUGGGCGUAAAGCGCGUGUAGGCGGUCCGGUAAGUCCGCUGUGAAAGUCGGGGGCUCAACCCUCGGAUGCCGGUGGAUACUGUCGGGCUUGAGUACGGAAGAGGCGAGUGGAAUUCCUGGUGUAGCGGUGAAAUGCGCAGAGUAUCAGGAGGAACACCAAUUGCGAAGGCAGCUCGCUGGACGUUACUGACGCUGAGACGCGAAAGCGUGGGAGCAACAGG